rnacentral:rRNA from 1 species
AAAGGGGCUUCGGCCCUGAGUAGAGUGGCGAACGGGUGAGUAACACGUGGGUGAUCUACCUCUGAGUGGGGGAUAACGUUCCGAAAGGAGCGCUAAUACCGCAUGACGUUCUGGGUUUGAAGACCUGGAAACCAAAGCCGGGGACCGCAAGGCCUGGCGCUUGGAGAGGAGCCCGCGCCUGAUUAGCUAGUUGGCGGGGUAAUGGCCCACCAAGGCGACGAUCAGUAGCCGGCCUGAGAGGGCGGACGGCCACACUGGGACUGAGACACGGCCCAGACUCCUACGGGAGGCAGCAGUGGGGAAUUGUUCGCAAUGGGCGCAAGCCUGACGACGCAACGCCGCGUGGAGGAUGAAGGUCUUCGGAUUGUAAACUCCUGUUGAUCGGGACGAAUGGGCUCCGGGUGAAUACUCCGGGGCAGUGACGGUACCGAUUGAGGAAGCCACGGCUAACUCUGUGCCAGCAGCCGCGGUAAUACAGAGGUGGCAAGCGUUGUUCGGAAUUACUGGGCGUAAAGGGCGCGUAGGCGGCCUUGUCAGUCAGACGUGAAAUCCCCGGGCUUAACUCGGGAACUGCGUCUGAUACUACAAGGCUGGAGUUCGGGAGAGGGAUGUGGAAUUCCAGGUGUAGCGGUGAAAUGCGUAGAUAUCUGGAGGAACACCGGUGGCGAAGGCGGCAUCCUGGACCGAAACUGACGCUGAGGCGCGAAAGCCAGGGGAGCAAACGGGAUUAGAUACCCCGGUAGUCCUGGCCCUAAACGAUGAGUGCUUGGUGUGGCGGGUAUCGAUCCCUGCCGU